UAAUAGCGUAUAUUAAAGUUGUUGCAGUUAAAAAGCUCGUAGUUGGAUUUCGGGGCAGCCUGGCUGGUCCGCCGCAAGGCGAGUACUGGUCAGCCGCCCUUCCUCUCGAAAGCCCCGACUGCUCUUCGUUGCAGUGGUCGGGUAGUUCGGGACGUUUACUUUGAAAAAAUUAGAGUGUUCAAGGCAGGCCUACGCCUGAAUACAUUAGCAUGGAAUAAUGGAAGAGGACCUCGGUCCUAUUUUGUUGGUUUCCAGGGCCGAAGUAAUGAUUAAGAGGGACAGUUGGGGGCAUUCGUAUUUAAUUGUCAGAGGUGAAAUUCUCGGAUUUAUGAAAGACGAACAACUGCGAAAGCAUUUGCCAAGGAUGUUUUCAUUAA
rnacentral:rRNA from 1 species